GAUGAACGCUGGCGGCGUGCUUAAUACAUGCAAGUCGAGCGAACGGACGAGAAGCUUGCUUCUCUGAUGUUAGCGGCGGACGGGUGAGUAACACGUGGAUAACCUACCUAUAAGACUGGGAUAACUUCGGGAAACCGGAGCUAAUACCGGAUAAUAUUUUGAACCGCAUGGUUCAAAAGUGAAAGACGGUCUUGCUGUCACUUAUAGAUGGAUCCGCGCUGCAUUAGCUAGUUGGUAAGGUAACGGCUUACCAAGGCAACGAUGCAUAGCCGACCUGAGAGGGUGAUCGGCCACACUGGAACUGAGACGCGGUCCAGACUCCUACGGGAGGCAGCAGUAGGGAAUCUUCCGCAAUGGGCGAAAGCCUGACGGAGCAACGCCGCGUGAGUGAUGAAGGUCUUCGGAUCGUAAAACUCUGUUAUUAGGGAAGAACAUAUGUGUAAGUAACUGUGCACAUCUUGACGGUACCUAAUCAGAAAGCCACGGCUAACUACGUGCCAGCAGCCGCGGUAAUACGUAGGUGGCAAGCGUUAUCCGGAAUUAUUGGGCGUAAAGCGCGCGUAGGCGGUUUUUUAAGUCUGAUGUGAAAGCCCACGGCUCAACCGUGGAGGGUCAUUGGAAACUGGAAAACUUGAGUGCAGAAGAGGAAAGUGGAAUUCCAUGUGUAGCGGUGAAAUGCGCAGAGAUAUGGAGGAACACCAGUGGCGAAGGCGACUUUCUGGUCUGUAACUGACGCUGAUGUGCGAAAGCGUGGGGAUCAAACAGG
rnacentral:rRNA from 1 species